rnacentral:misc_RNA from 1 species
AAGUCGUAACAAGGUUUCCGUAGGUGAACCUGCGGAAGGAUCAUUAACGAGUUUUUGAAAGGGGUUGUAGCUGGCCAAAAACAAGGCAUGUGCACACCCUGCUCAAUCCACUCUCAAACCCCUGUGCACUUAUUGUAGGCUAUGGUGGGAUAGCUGGCUUCGGUCAGUUUGAAAGCCUUGUCUAUGUUUAUUACAAACGCUUCAGUUAAAGAAUGUCACAUAGCGUCUAACGCAUUAUAUACAACUUUCAGCAACGGAUCUCUUGGCUCUC